rnacentral:rRNA from 1 species
GAUGAACGCUGGCGGCGUGCCUAAUACAUGCAAGUCGAGCGAAUGGAUUAAGAGCUUGCUCUUAUGAAGUUAGCGGCGGACGGGUGAGUAACACGUGGGUAACCUGCCCAUAAGACUGGGAUAACUCCGGGAAACCGGGGCUAAUACCGGAUAAUAUUUUGAACUGCAUGGUUCAAAAUUGAAAGGCGGCUUCGGCUGUCACUUAUGUAUGGACCCGCGUCGCAUUAGCUAGUUGGUGAGGUAACGGCUCACCAAGGCAACGAUGCGUAGCCGGCCGGUGAGGGUGAUCGGCCACACUAGGAUGGAGACACGGCCUAGACUCCUACGGGAGGCAGCAGUAGGGAAUCUUCCGGAAUGGACGAAAGUCUGACGGAGCAACGCCGCGUGAGUGAUGAAGGCUUUCAGGUCGUAAAACUCUGUUGUUAGGGAAGAACAAGUGCUAGUUGAAUAAGCUGGCACCUUGACGGUACCUAACCAGAAAGCCACGGCUAACUACGUGCCAGCAGCCGCAGUAA